CUUCUGAAUAAAUAUAGAAGGUCCAGCCUGCCCAGUGACAAAGUUAAACGGCCGCGGUACCCUAACCGUGCAAAGGUAGCGCAAUCACUUGUUCUUUAAAUGAGGACUAGUAUGAACGGCAUCACGAGGAUUAUUCUGUCUCCCCCCUUUAAUCAGUGAAACUGAUCUCCCCGUGAAGAAGCGGGGAUAAACCUAUAAGACGAGAAGACCCUAUGGAGCUUUAAACUUACACCACUUGUCUAUACACAAUUCACAAUAAACAGACAAAACUAACGUGCUAGUUUUUGGUUGGGGUGACCGCGGAGCAAAAUAAAACCUCCACAAUGAAAAGACUUCCAAUCUUUAUCUAAGAGCAACAUCUCAAAGAAUUGGUAGACCAACACAACUGACCCAAACAUGCUUUGAUCAACGAACCAAGUUAC
rnacentral:rRNA from 2 species